GACAGAGGUGCCAAGCGUUAGGCGGAAUCACUGGGCUUAAAGCGUGUGUAGGCGGAUCGUUAAGUACCUUGUGAAAUCCCACGGCUCAACCGUGGAACUGCUGGGUAUACUGGCGGUCUUGAGCCACCUAGGGGCGAGCGGAACAAACGGUGGAGCGGUGAAAUGCGUAGAGAUCGGAAAGAACACCAACGGCGAAAGCACUCUGCUGGGCCGACACUGACACUGAGAGACGAAAGCUAGGGGAGCGAAUGGG
rnacentral:rRNA from 1 species